UCUGCUUGGGCUAUUCAAUGUUGUCGUAUAGGCCUAUUGAUGAUGGAUAUUUGUGUUUUAUGUUUCUAUCGCUUGACAAAGGAAUUCUAGUGUGUUCUAAAUAAGCAGUUAUUUGUGAUGCCAGAUAUCGUCUCGGCUGAUACAUACAUAUACGUAUAAAAUCUGCCGUAGUACUUAGACCCUCACUGAGUGUGGCUUUUGUUCGUCAACUUGGGAUGAACAUGAUGAAGACAAAGGAUGAUGAUACUUCAAGAACUUACAUUGGGGAUCACAAAUUACGGGCACAACACAUUGAAGAACUACUGGUGUAUUUGGAUAAGUCAUUUAGAUAUGAUGGAAUACUUGGCAACAUGGCUGUGAUUUUUUAUUUACUGAAGACAACAAGCCGCAACCUUAAUAUCAAAAUGAAAGGAAAUCUGACCAAAUACUGAGAUGAUGGACCACUCUACUUCCUUUUACAGCAGGUGCCCCUACAGAUUCACAAGGUUCCAGUGUUGAGUUUCCAUAACCCCUAUUCAUCCACGACAGGAAAAGGGAUGGAGUUGACAGGACCUACCGCACUGUCCCUGGUAGCAGUUUUAUGAGGGAACCAAGCACAGUAGACAUAGCACGCUUCAUCAAAGAUGCACCAGAUGCAGCGGCACUGUCUCCGUCAUUGGUGAAAUUGGAUAUUACUAGUGGACGGUCAUCACUUUGUAACUCACCAACACAAUUAGUGGCCCAUCUCUUCUUGUCUCAAAUGGUGGUCUCUGAAGGAAUGGUUGCAGUGCAGUCUUUAUGUCCUGGGCAGGUAUGUUGCAUGUUGGCGGCUGACGCUUGUUCAACAUUUGCACCAAGAAGCAUACCACGCAUACCUUCUGUUGUAAUACUGGUACAAAGGUGACUGACAGCCAUGGCCACAUUCAGCUGUGCAGCUCUUCAUCCCCUUCCAGCGAUCUCCUCACCUCUUUGUAAAGCUUUUCUUGUUGACUGAUAUAGUGGCAUUUCUUACAUCGGAUGGAAAGGAUCCAUGCCAGGCCUCGUUUUUCCUCCCCAUGCUGAUUCCAGUCCAGUGGACCAUCACAGUCUGGAAACUUAUAGCUGCCUGGUCUUCUAAGAGAAACUCAAUUCUUUGAUGACUGAUGGAAAAGCCUCAUCACCCCCACUGCUUAAGAACCCCUGAUCUUAAUCACCAGCCAUUAAUCAGUGGUCACCGUUACCAAAGCUCCAAGGUGGGCAUGAUGCAACUUCCUGGAUGGUGUGUAGGCUGUUUGUCAAAAUGUGAAUCCCAUGUGCAUUUCGGGACAAGGAGCACACGGCGGGUGUGACCGGUCAGCAGGGGAUGCUCACUCCUCCAUGGCACCUGAUCCCACCUCUGAUGUUUAGGGGAUGAUGGACCACUCUACUUCUUUUACAACAAGUGCCCCUACAGAAUCACAAAGUUCCAGUGUUGAGUUUCCAUAACCCCUAUUCAUCCACAACAGGAAAAGGAAGAGAGUUGACAGGACUUCCCGCGUUGUCCCUGGCAGCAGUUUAUGAGGGAACCAACGGCAGUAGACAUAGCAUGCUUCAUCAAAGAUGCAGCGGCACUGUCUCCAUCAUUGGUGAAAUGGGACUAGUGGACAGCCAUCACUUUGCAACUCACCAACACAAUUAGCGGCCCAUCUCUUCUCAUCUCCAGUUGUGGUCUCCAGAGGAAUGGUUUCAGUGCAGUCUUUAUGUCCUGGGCAGGUAACUUCCUUUCCUUUGCUUUG